UACAUGUGGGGCAAGCGUUGUUCGGAAUUACUGGGCAUAAAGGGGGCGUAGGCGGCUUGUUAAGUCAGGGGUGAAAGUUUUCGGCCCAACCGGAAAAUUGCCUUUGAUACUGGCGAGCUGGAGUGUGUGAGGGGUGACCGGAACGAGUGGUGUAGCGGUGAAAUGCGUAGAUAUCACUCGGAAGGCCAACGGCGAAGGCAGGUCACUGGUGCGCAACUGACGCUGAGGCACGAAAGCGUGGGGAGCAAACAGG
rnacentral:rRNA from 1 species